AGGAACUGCGUGCAGGUGGUUGUGCUUCUCCGUUUGGAUCCCCCUCAGGACGACCCUGUGAGGAACUGCGUGCAGGUGGUUCUGCUUCCCUGUUUUGAUCCCCGCAAGACGACCCUGUGAGGGGUCAGUGAGCUUUGAGGUGGUGACCUUGCCUUUCACAGACGAGGAUUGGGCCCUGCUAGAGAGCACUGCGGAAAGAGCUCACGGUGGAGAUUCAUGAGGUGGUGACCUCUCUGGGCAUGCGACCAUGAAACGGAUCCGCCCAAGUGGAGCGCAGCAAAGGAAGAAACAGAAAGCCAAAGCUUUAGAACUGCAGUCGCUGGCCGGGUCGCUGCUGAAAUUUGUCACCCCUUCCAGUUCGGCAUCAACAUCAAGCAUUCCA